UACGAAGGUGGCAAGCGUUACUCGGAUUUACUAGGCGUAAAGGGCAGGUAGGUGGUUUGAUAAGUCUGUUGUGUAAGCUCCCGGCUUAACUGGGAGAGGUCAACGGAAACUGUCAGGCUUGAGUAUGGGAGAGGAUACUGGAAUUCCCGGUGUAGCGGUGAAAUGCGCAGAUAUCGGGAGGAACACCAAUGGCGAAAGCAGGUAUCUGGACCAUUACUGACACUCAGCUGCGAAAGCUAGGGGAGCAAACAGG
rnacentral:rRNA from 1 species